rnacentral:rRNA from 1 species
AUGUCUAGCGACAAGGCGUCUGGGCCGGAUGGCUUCACCGGCCUCUUCUUCAAGAAGUGUUGGGGCAUUAUCAAGCACGACCUCAUGAGGGUGAUUCAAUGCUUUGACUCCCUCCACACAACUAAUCUUCACUGGCUCAACUCUGCGAAUGUUGUGCUGCUUCCCAAGAAGGAUGGGGCGGAGAGCAUCGUCGACUAUAGACCCAUCAGUCUCAUUCAUGGAAUCGCCAAGAUCAUAGCGAAAGUGCUUUCCAUAAGGCUUGGACCGCACAUGUCCACCCUUGUCUCCAACGCUCAAAGUGCUUUCAUCAAAACUCGGAGCAUCCACGACAACUUCAUGUAUGUUCGAAACCUCGCGCGGCGCCUUCACAAGAGCAAGAACCCCUCCCUGCUAUUCAAGUUGGACAUUCGCAAGGCCUCCGACUCCGUCAAAUAG